rnacentral:lncRNA from 1 species
AGGUUCUCUUCCAGCUGCCUGUACCAGAGACUUCUGGUGUACACAGAGACACGCAGCCUGGCUGAUUGGGGCAACAGGAGGAGCACCCAGAGAGCUGGUCUAGCUGACCUUUAGUGGCAUACUCUGGCCCCGUAAUGCAGGAAAAACAGUCCAACAAAUAAAGGACAGCAUAUUCCACGUCAUUGUGUCUUGCCUCUUAUCCGUAGAAGCGGCAUCUUAUAUACAGGUCAUCAAAAGCAGAAAAUGGAGAAGAAAAGGAUCUACUAAAGUAAAUCAAUCUUCCAGAAGAGCACGUCACAUUAGCUGUGCAAGAAAAAUGGAUAUGCUGGAGUCCAAGAGUAGUCGGAAUUACCAGGCAGUUGCAUGUGAACUCUGCAGCAUAACUAAGAAGCUGCUUUUCAUUAGACUUAGUUUCAGAGCAGAAUAAAAUAAUGCAGUUUAUACUGCUCCUACCUUUGCUAUUUGAGUUGUUCAGAUCAGAAAAUUUUAUUUAGUAAAAGGUGUG